UACAGAGGAGCCAAGCGUUGUCCGGAUUGACUGGGCGUAAAGCGCACGCAGGCGGCACCGCGCGUGGGGUGUGAAAUCUGGCCGCUUAACGGCCAGGCGCCAUCCCAUACGGCGGAGCUGGAGUGAUGCAGAGGUCGAUGGAAUUGCCGGUGUAGUGGUGAAAUGCGUAGAGAUCGGGAGGAACACCAGUGGCGAAGGCGACUACCUGGCCUGUUCUUGACGCUGAGGCGCGAAAGCUAGGGGAGCAAACGGG
rnacentral:rRNA from 1 species